rnacentral:rRNA from 1 species
UACAGAGGCCUUAAGCGUUGUUCGGAUUCAUUGGGCGUAAAGGGUGCGUAGGUGGCUUGGUAAGUUGAAGGUGAAAUCUCGGGGCUUAACUCCGAAACUGCCUUCAAUACUGCUGAGCUCGAGGAUUGUAGAGGAGAAUGGAAUUCACGGUGUAGCAGUGAAAUGCGUAGAUAUCGUGAGGAAGACCAGUGGCGAAGGCGAUUCUCUGGGCAAUUCCUGACACUGAGGCACGAAGGCUAGGGGAGCAAACGGG